AAUGCAUCUCCUGUACUGUCAUUCCCAUAGCAAUGAAUAUUACUAAUCUGUAACAUAUCAUUGAUAUGCAGAAGAAACAGGGUCGGAGAUAGUACAGAACUUUACGUUUCUUGAGAAAACUGGCGUCCAAACUGUACAAUCUCGCAGGCAACCCAAACGAGGGUAGUUUCAAGAGCAGCGUUUUGUGCGAUAUCGGAUCAAAGGCUUUCGCAAUAUCCAGACUAACAGUUAAGGCCUCUCCCUUAUUCUUGAGUGCCACUGCCCAUCGGUGUGUUAAAUAAACCAUAAGAUCAUCUCCCUUUUUAGGAAUCGGAUAUACCAGGACAGUCGUCCAAAACUUUGGGACUAUACCUGAUGAGUAACAGAGCCGAAAAAGACGCGUAAGAACCGGAAGCCAACUCUGGCGUACACCUCCUAAGCACAAUUGGAGGAAUACCAUUGGGUCCACUCGACUUAUGGAUUUCAAGGGAAAGAAGUGCUCUACGCACUGAGCUUUGCGUGAAUUUAAUAUCAAGCAUAGAGAUCUUACAACGCGGGAUUGACGCAAAGAGGGAUCCAAGGAGUUCGGCCUUUUCUUUGACGCACAGAGCCAACGAGUUAUCCUCGCUGCGCAAUGAUGGAAAAGAUGACUAACAGAAAUUCCCUUGUGCAGCUUUGGCAAGAGACCGGAAAGCUCGAGAUCCCGAAGGACACUGGUAUUUGGAUCUCGCGACUCCAAAUCUUUAGCCCAGGCUAGGAAGCACUCCUGUUUCAAACGAGAUGCUGUUCUACAAGAGGCUCCAUACCAAGGCUGGGAUUUCUCACAGACGGGCACCACAGAAUUAGGAAUAAAUAAUUCCAUUCAUCCAACAUAACGGAAAGGUUGUUAUAGCUGAACAUGAAUACAGGUCUGUUGGUCCUUUAUGGCGUCUUUACUAGGAAUUAAGUUGAUGAUUUUCAGAGAAAUCACAACGCGGUUCAUUUGUUAGGUUGUAUUACUAGCAAUGGAGCGGCUGGUCUCCAUUAUUAACAUUAUGCGUCACAUAUUUUAUUAACCAGGCAUAAUAUUUCAUGAUAUUGUGCUAUUGUGCCUUGCUACUAUGCUAUUCAGGAAUACAGAUCCAACAAAAUACAAUAAGCAUUGCUCCAUCACAGUGUGUAAGUAAUCUAAUUUAAAUCUUACUGGUGUAACAGAUGCUAAAUAUAGACGGAUGAUAUAUA